rnacentral:rRNA from 1 species
ACGGAAGGCAGCAGUGGGGAAUAUUGCACAAUGGGGGAAACCCUGAUGCAGCGACGCCGCGUGAGUGAAGAAGUAUUUCGGUAUGUAAAGCUCUAUCAGCAAGGAAGAAAAUGACGGUACUUGACUAAGAAGCCCCGGCUAACUACGUGCCAGCAGCCGCGGUAAUACGUAGGGGGCAAGCGUUAUCCGGAUUUACUGGGUGUAAAGGGAGCGUAGACGGCGAUGCAAGUCUGAUGUGAAAGCCCGGGGCUCAACCCCGGGACUGCAUUGGAAACUGUAUAGCUAGAGUGCAGGAGAGGUAAGCGGAAUUCCUAGUGUAGCGGUGAAAUGCGUAGAUAUUAGGAGGAACACCGGCGGCGAAGGCGGCUUACUGGACUGUAACUGACGUUGAGGCUCGAAAGCGUGGGGAGCAAACAGGAUUAGAUACCCUGGUA